GAUGAACGCUGGCGGCGUGCCUAAUACAUGCAAGUCGAGCGAACAGACGAGGAGCUUGCUCCUCUGACGUUAGCGGCGGACGGGUGAGUAACACGUGGAUAACCUACCUAUAAGACUGGGAUAACUUCGGGAAACCGGAGCUAAUACCGGAUAAUAUAUUGAACCGCAUGGUUCAAUAGUGAAAGACGGUUUUGCUGUCACUUAUAGAUGGAUCCGCGCCGCAUUAGCUAGUUGGUAAGGUAACGGCUUACCAAGGCGACGAUGCGUAGCCGACCUGAGAGGGUGAUCGGCCACACUGGAACUGAGACACGGUCCAGACUCCUACGGGAGGCUGCAGUAGGGAAUCUUCCGCAAUGGGCGAAAGCUUGACGGAGCAACGCCGCGUGAGUGAUGAAGGUCUUCGGAUCGUAAAACUCUGUUAUUAGGGAAGAACAAAUGUGUAAGUAACUAUGCACGUCUUGACGGUACCUAAUCAGAAAGCCACGGCUAACUACGUG
rnacentral:rRNA from 1 species